rnacentral:rRNA from 1 species
UGCAUAUCAAAUAAGCGGAGGAAAAGAAACCAACAGGGAUUGCCUUAGUAACGGCGAGUGAAGCGGCAAAAGCUCAAAUUUGAAAUCUAGCACUUUCAGUGUUCGAGUUGUAAUUUGAAGAAGGUAACUUUGGAAUUGGCUCUUGUCUAUGUUCCUUGGAACAGGACGUCACAGAGGGUGAGAAUCCCGUGCGAUGAGAUGUCCAAUUCUAUGUAAAGUGCUUUCGAAGAGUCGAGUUGUUUGGGAAUGCAGCUCUAAGUGGGUGGUAAAUUCCAUCUAAAGCUAAAUAUUGGCGAGAGACCGAUAGCGAACAAGUACAGUGAUGGAAAGAUGAAAAGAACUUUGAAAAGAGAGUGAAAAAGUACGUGAAAUUGUUGAAAGGGAAGGGCUUGAGAUCAGACUUGGUAUUUUGUGUUCCUUAUUCUUUUUGGAUUUGGUUCCUCACAGCUUACCGGGCCAGCAUCGGUUUGGAUGGUAGGAUAAUGACAUUGGAAUGUAGCUUUGCUUCGGUGAAGUGUUAUAGACUUUGUUGAUACUGCCUAUCUAGACCGAGGACUGCGUCUUUGACUAGGAUGCUGGCGUAAUGAUCUUAAGCCGCCCGUCUUGAAACACGG